GAUGAAGAACUCAGCGAAAUGCGAUAAGUAAUGUGAAUUGCAGAAUUCAGUGAAUCAUCGAAUCUUUGAACGCACCUUGCACCCUUUGGCAUUCCGAAGGGUAUGCUCGUUUGAGUGUCAUUGUACUCUCACACUUCCAAUCUUUGGAUUGGGAGCGGUGGACUUGGGUGUUGCUGCUUACUGUGGCUCACCUCAAAUCGAUUCGUGCACCUCUUGGUUGGACAUAGUACGGCGUGAUAAGUGUCUUCGCCGGCACCUCAGUAGAGGGUGGCUGAUCAGGAGCUCUGUGCUUCAAACCGUCCUCGGACAACAACUGACAACUUGACCUCAAAUCGAGUAGGACUACCCGCUGAACUUAAGCAUAUCAAUAAGCGGAGGA
rnacentral:misc_RNA from 1 species